rnacentral:tRNA from 1 species
AGCAGCGUGGCUUAGUGGAAAGUACCCAGGCUUUGGUGUCAGAGGACGUGGGUUCUAAUCCCGCCGCCGCCA